GAUCAUGGCUCAGGACGAACGCUGGCGGCGUGCUUAACACAUGCAAGUCGAACGCUGAAGCCCAGCUUGCUGGGUGGAUGAGUGGCGAACGGGUGAGUAACACGUGAGUAACCUGCCCCCUUCUUUGGGAUAACGCCCGGAAACGGGUGCUAAUACUGGAUAUUCACUGGCCUUCGCAUGGGGGUUGGGUUGGGAAAGGGUUUUUUUACGUUUGGUUGGGGGGUAGGUGGGCGUCGCGGCCUACUCAGCUUGUUGGGUUGGGGUGGAGUGG
rnacentral:rRNA from 1 species